rnacentral:lncRNA from 1 species
AUGGAUGCCCUCCUCAGCUGCUUUCCUGAGGAUGGCACACCACUCGUUAUCCUCGGCGACUUCAACAUCCUGCCAGAAAGGUUGCACUCACCUGGACUAACCAAUUUAUUCGCCACCUUUGAUUUAACACUAUCCCCUUCUCCUCCCACACACAGGGCCGGGAACCAGCUUGACCUAAUAUUCACUAGGUCCUGCGGCACCUCUGCUCUCUCCGUUACCCCGCUCCCCGUGUCUGACCAUCACUUUGUUGAUUUUUCUCUCCCCUUGAAAUCCUCUCCCCCCUCCUCUCUUGUCCCCACAUUGUCACCACCCGCCGUAACCUCAAAUCCCUCUCUCCCUCUACGUUUGUCUCUAUUGUUCUCUCUUCAAUACCUUCUAUCGAACGAUUCUCUCAACUAUCUACAGAGGAAUGUUCAGACACUCUGCUAUCCUCCCUCUCCUCCUCCUUGGAUUCCCUCUGUCCCUUCCACUCCAGACCAGCGCAAUCCUCACCCCCCCCUCCUGUCCGAACCUCUGCAGACUUGUAGAACAAAGUUGUGGGCAGCUGAGAGGAAAUGGAAGAGAUCAGACUUUCCUAAUGAUCUAUCUCACUAUCUUUUCCUUCUUUCUGAUUUCACCUCCACUGUGUCAACAACCAAAUCUGCCUUCUACCCGACCAAAAUCCACUCCGCCUCAAACCCCAGGAAACUGUUUUCCCUGUUCUCAUCCCUCCUCAACCCUCCCUCACCCCCACCUCCUUCCUGCCUCACUGCUGAUGACUUUGUUACCUACUUUACCCAGAAAGUAAAGGACAUUAGCUCCUCUUUUAUCCCUGCCUCCAUCCUCCCAUCCCCUCCUCUGUCUUUACCCAAUUUAUCCCUCACCUCUGACGAGGUCAACAGAAUAAUAACAUCUAACCAUGCCACCACCUGCCCCCUUGACACUAUCCCCUCCUCUCUCCUCCAGGAUGUCUCAAGCGACACCCUGCCAUUUCUCACCUCACUUAUCAACUCCUCCCUCACUUCAGGCAUUGUUCCAGCAUCUUGCAAGACUGCCAGAAUAAAGCCACUCCUCAAAAAACCAACUCUUAAUACCACGACAUCCAGAACUACAGACCGGUAUCUCUUCCUUCAUUCCUCUCUAAAACACUGGAACGUGCCAAUGCAAACCAACUGUCCUCCUAUCUUUCAUCUAACAACCUGCUUGACCCUCACCAGUCAGGCUUCAAGAAGGCACACUCCACUGAGACGGCUCUCCUUGCGGUGGCUGAGUCCCUCCGUGCUGCCAGAGCCUCAUCCCUCUCAUCGGUUCUCAUUCUCUUCGACCUGUCCGCAGCAUUUGACACUGUGA